rnacentral:lncRNA from 1 species
AUACAUGAGUAGUCAUGAAUGGUACCCAGACCAAGUUCUUACGAAGGCCCUUGUAGGACUUCUUUGGAAGUAUUACUAGGGCAACUUCAGUGUCAAUAUAUGUAUUUAAAGGGAGUACAAUAUUACAGCUUCCAAAAGUCAAGCCUGACUGAUCUUGACCCUGAUAUUUAUAUGGGUCUAAAAACAAGACUCACCCUUGGCACUAAGAUUAAUGAGUCUGAGUACGUGUGGUUUUCAUGAACUUGACAAAUUAUUCCUUCCUUGAAAGGUUAAAAACAAAAAGCAACAAUCUGCCCAUAAAUCACAGAAAGUAGUAGUAAAUAAAACACUCUGACCUCUUUUGUUAUCAUAAUUUACCCUUGGUCAUGAGUCCAUGAAAUGGACAGCUAUUUCCCAUGUCAUCCCUGGCCUUCAUGGCUCUGCCAAUAAUUUUUUUCUGUCAAGUGAAAUCUAUGAUGGAAAAAUUCAAUGUGACCCUAUCUUGCCAGUGGGCUAAGACACUGAACCUUGAGUGCAAUAAGAUGAAUUCCCCAGGCUCCAUGAAACAUAUUGGCCUUAAAGCAAUCCCUCCAAACCAUGGUUCUCAGGGCCUUGCCAUGGCUAUGGCAUUGUCUUGUCCUUUUCAAGAUCUUCAGUAUUUCAGGAGUCGUUUACCAGUUGAUCUGUUCAUGUCUGGGCCCCUGACAAUGGGUUUGAGUCAGAGCCUGCACUGGGCAGUAGUGGUUAUUGGUUUCCCAUGGUCCUUCUUUUGGCAACAAGAAUGUAGCUGUUUGACCCAGGCCUUGGCCUUGCAUUGUACCCCCAUCUACCUUAUUCUGGGACUACAAACCUGACCGAAGCUUUCUCUCUUCUGGCUUAAAGACUAAUGCAUGAUUGAAACAGCAAAGAAUGAGGCCUGGAGAGCAAGAAGUGAAGAUGACAGACAGAGCCAGCUCUACAAGAGACAGAAGGACAGCUGUCUGCACUGAGCCACUGGCUGCAGGCCCUGGAGUUCUACAGUUGUUCUUUUCAUCCUUUGAUCCUCCCCAGUAUUCCUCCCAGUAAUGUGAGCCAACAAAUUCCCUUUUCUUGCUAGUUUGCACUAGAUUUCUGAUAACUAAAAUUCUGCAGGACGUCUAGGAAAGAAAGCAAUCUUUUGGUCAUAGUCCAAAUGAGGAUAAACAGCAAAAAUCUUGGGCUGGUUAUGAGGCUUUACAGGAUGUUCCAUUUAACAGGUCUCAGUUUUCCUACUUUGACAGGGUUAAUUGGAGAGAUUCUUAACCUCUCUUCUAUGAGGUAUGUGCUCCAAAAUCACUGCAGAUGGUGACUGCAGCCAUGAAAUUAAAAGA